GAACCAGCGGAGGGAUCAUUAGCGAGUUGCAAACUCCCAAACCAUUGUGAACCUACCUGUACCGUUCCUUCGGCGGGCGGCCCACGCCCUAACCUGCCGCCCCUCGCGGGCUGGCGGACCCGCCGGAGGCCCCUAAACCCUUAGCUUCUUUGGCACCUCUGAGUACACUUUUUAAUAAGUCAAAACUUUCAACAACGGAUCUCUUGGCUCUGGCAUCGAUGAAGAACGCAGCGAAAUGCGAUACGUAAUGUGAAUUGCAGAAUCCAGUGAAUCAUCGAAUCUUUGAACGCACAUUGCGCCCGCUAGUAUUCUGGCGGGCAUGCCUGUUCGAGCGUCAUUUCAACCAUCAAGCCCUAGGCUUGUGUUGGGGCCCCACGGCUGCCGUAGGCCCUGAAAUGAAGUGGCGGGCCCGCCGCGACUCCGAGCGUAGUAGGAUACUAUCUCGCUAUGGUGGCCCGCGGCGGCGCUCCGGCCGUUAAAGAACCCCCUCUUUAACCAAGGUUGACCUCGGAUCAGGUAGGAAUACCCGCUGAACUUAAGCAUAUCAAUAAGCGGAGGAA
rnacentral:rRNA from 1 species